UUUUUUUUCAGGGCUGCUUUGGAAUCCCCAGUCCAGCCCUGGGCUCAGGCACCAAGUGUAGUGGUGUUAUGGAGACAGAAUCAGGCACUGAGGGUAGUGGUCUUCUGGAGACAGGCUCAGGCACUGAGGGUAGUGGUGUUGUGGAGACAGGCUCAGGCACCAAGUGUAGUGGUGUUGUGGAGACAGGCUUUGAGACUAUGGUGAGGCCUAAUAGAAAGCAACA